UACGAAGGGUGCAAGCGUUACUCGGAAUUACUGGGCGUAAAGCGUGCGUAGGCGGUUUGUUAAGUCUGUCGUGAAAGCCCUGGGCUCAACCUGGGAAUUGCGAUGGAUACUGGCAAGCUAGAGUACGGUAGAGGAUGGUGGAAUUCCCGGUGUAGCGGUGAAAUGCGUAGAGAUCGGGAGGAACACCCGUGGCGAAGGCGGCCAUCUGGACCAGUACUGACGCUCAUGCACGACAGCGUGGGGAUCAAACAGG
rnacentral:rRNA from 1 species